rnacentral:rRNA from 1 species
UGGGGAAUAUUGGACAAUGGGGGCAACCCUGAUCCAGCAAUGCCGCGUGUGUGAAGAAGGCCUUCGGGUUGUAAAGCACUUUUAUCCGGAACGAAACGCGCUCGGUGAAUAGCCGGGUGAACUGACGGUACCGGAGGAAUAAGCACCGGCUAACUUCGUGCCAGCAGCCGCGGUAAUACGAAGGGUGCAAGCGUUACUCGGAAUUACUGGGCGUAAAGCGUGUGCGGGUGGUUUGUUAAGUCUGCUGUGAAAUCCCCGGGCUCAACCUGGGAAUGGCAGUGGAUACUGGCAAGCUAGAGUGCGGUAGAGGGUAGUGGAAUUCCCGGUGUAGCGGUGAAAUGCGUAGAGAUCGGGAGGAACACCAGUGGCGAAGGCGGCUACCUGGACCAGCACUGACACUCAGACACGAAAGCGUGGGGAGCAAAC